rnacentral:sRNA from 1 species
GCUUUGAUUACCACCAUCGGUUCGAUGGUGGGUUAGCGCGCGUCCGGACAUCGCUACUUAAACCCGCCACGAGGCGGGUUUU